rnacentral:piRNA from 3 species
UAGGAUUUGCUGAAGGAGGCAGAGGC